rnacentral:rRNA from 4 species
CGGGGUUGCGGACAGUGUCUGGUGGGUAGUUUGACUGGGGCGGUCUCCUCCCAAAGCGUAACGGAGGAGCACGAAGGUUAGCUAAUCCUGGUCGGACAUCAGGAGGUUAGUGCAAUGGCAUAAGCUAGCUUGACUGCGAGCGUGACGGCGCGAGCAGGUGCGAAAGCAGGUCAUAGUGAUCCGGUGGUUCUGAAUGGAAGGGCCAUCGCUCAACGGAUAAAAGGUACUCCGGGGAUAACAGGCUGAUACCGCCCAAGAGUUCAUAUCGACGGCGGUGUUUGGCACCUCGAUGUCGGCUCAUCACAUCCUGGGGCUGAAGUAGGUCCCAAGGGUAUGGCUGUUCGCCAUUUAAAGUGGUACGCGAGCUGGGUUUAGAACGUCGUGAGACAGUUCGGUCCCUAUCUGCCGUGGGCGCUGGAGAAUUGAGGGGGGCUGCUCCUAGUACGAGAGGACCGGAGUGGACGCAUCACUGGUGUUCGGGUUGUCAUGCCAAUGGCACUGCCCGGUAGCUAAAUGCGGAAGAGAUAAGUGCUGAAAGCAUCUAAGCACGAAACUUGCCCCGAGAUGAGUUCUCCCUGAGACUUUAAGUCUCCUGAAGGAACGUUAAAGACGAUGACGUUGAUAGGCCGGGUGUGUAAGCGCAGCGAUGCGUUGAGCUAACCGGUACUAAUGAACCGUGAGGCUUAACCUUACAACGCCGAAG